UACGUAGGGGGCUAGCGUUGUCCGGAAUCAUUGGGCGUAAAGAGCGCGUAGGCGGCUAGGUAAGUCCGACGUGAAAUCUGGAGGCUCAACCUCCAGCGGUCGUUGGAAACUACUUGGCUAGAGUCCGGAAGAGGAGAGUGGAAUUCCUGGUGUAGCGGUGAAAUGCGCAGAUAUCAGGAAGAACACCGAUGGCGAAAGCAGCUCUCUGGGACGGUACUGACGCUGAGGCGCGAAAAGCGUGGGGAGCGAACAGG
rnacentral:rRNA from 1 species